rnacentral:rRNA from 1 species
GAUGAACGCUGGCGGCGUGCUUAACACAUGCAAGUCGAACGAAGCACUUUAUUUGAUUUCCUUCGGGACUGAUUAUUUUGUGACUGAGUGGUGGACGGGUGAGUAACGCGUGGGUAACCUGCCUUGUACAGGGGGAUAACAGUUGGAAACGGCUGCUAAUACCGCAUAAGCGCACGGCAUCGCAUGAUGCAGUGUGAAAAACUCCGGUGGUAUAAGAUGGACCCGCGUUGGAUUAGCUAGUUGGUGAGGUAACGGCCCACCAAGGCGACGAUCCAUAGCCGACCUGAGAGGGUGACCGGCCACAUUGGGACUGAGACACGGCCCAAACUCCUACGGGAGGCAGCAGUGGGGAAUAUUGCACAAUGGGCGAAAGCCUGAUGCAGCGACGCCGCGUGAGCGAAGAAGUAUUUCGGUAUGUAAAGCUCUAUCAGCAGGGAAGAUAAUGACGGUACCUGACGAAGAAGCACCGGCUAAAUACGUG